AGUGAUCACAGCAAGUGCAAACUCAUGUAAACCCGUUACCCUCGCAAUGAGUUUCCAUUCCAAUGUUCAUAGUUACAAGUUGUUUUGUUUUUAAAAAAAAAUGCACAUGGAAUCCAUAUUAAAGUAUGAAGUUUAAGAAGACAGGCAGACUGAAGAAUGUCUUCCACCCUGGAGUCCGGCCCACACGGACAGUAACCUGCAGCUCAGAGCGGAAAUCUGAGUCGGUGCACAGACGAAGGGGACAGAAGAGGGAUGUACCGGAACUGGGCCUCUGGAUUUGCCAAGACAGAGGCAGGCAGGAUGCUACCUUUACCAGGUCUUCGCAGAGACGCUGUGUGGGGAAACUGAGGAGCGGGAAGGAAGGCGGUGGCCCUGAGGACUUCCAAUGCUGAACUUCAGUGUGGGUGACAUCCACACUCCAAACCCAGAACAACCUUGGGGCGAGUCCCUUCAUCUGCAGCUGUCUCUAUAGCCAUUCAAAAUGUCUUACUUUCUCUUUACUUUAGUUCCUAAUUAAAACAGAAAGUCUUUCUGGCAAUAA
rnacentral:lncRNA from 1 species